AAGUCGUAACAAGGUUUCCGUAGGUGAACCUGCGGAAGGAUCAUCCAAAUAAAGCUGGUAGGAAGUGGGGUCUUGAUCUGUAAGUGGUUGAGCGAACAGUCCGGCUGCCUCCGAAAUGUCUACAUGUCCCCCCACAGCCUGAAAGGCCCGAAUUACCAAACCCCUUGAUUAUCUACACUUGUUGCUUUGGGGUGCUCAAGUGCCCCAGAGGACCCAACUCUCUUGCAUUUAGUGACGUCUGAGUACUAUAUAAUAUUUAAAA
rnacentral:misc_RNA from 1 species